rnacentral:rRNA from 1 species
CCAGAGAACUUAGCAGAGAUGCUUUGGUGCCUUCGGGAACUCUGAGACAGGUGCUGCAUGGCUGUCGUCAGCUCGUGUUGUGAAAUGUUGGGUUAAGUCCCGCAACGAGCGCAACCCUUAUCCUUUGUUGCCAGCGAUUCGGUCGGGAACUCAAAGGAGACUGCCGGUGAUAAACCGGAGGAAGGUGGGGAUGACGUCAAGUCAUCAUGGCCCUUACGGCCAGGGCUACACACGUGCUACAAUGGCGCAUACAAAGAGAAGCGACCUCGCGAGAGCAAGCGGACCUCAUAAAGUGCGUCGUAGUCCGGAUUGGAGUCUGCAACUCGACUCCAUGAAGUCGGAAUCGCUAGUAAUCGUAGAUCAGAAUGCUACGGUGAAUACGUUCCCGGGCCUUGUACACACCGCCCGUCACACCAUGGGAGUGGGUUGCAAAAGAAGUAGGUAGCUUAACCUUCGGGAGGGCGCUUACCACUUUGUGAUUCAUGACUGGGGUGAAGUCGUAACAAGGUAAGCGUAGUGCU